rnacentral:lncRNA from 1 species
GUCGGGCCGGAUUCCUGCGCUCGGACGGCUAAUAUGGAUGCGCAUCAGAAUCAGGGGAGAGGCAGAGAUGCGGAAAGGAGCUUGGGGGGACGUCUGGGAGGCCCAAGAGAGGGUAGUGUGCUGAAGGUAGACCCCGGAUCUGGCUCCGGUUCCCCGAAUCUGAAAACAGUGCCCCACCCGCACAGUUCCUUCUUUUCUCUCCCAGGUUGGUCCUUCCCACCAGCGCAGCGACUUUGGAGCGUGCUUCUCUUCUGACAAACGCAAGGGCCCAACGCAUUUGUCACUUUGCCUUCUCACUUUGCCAACAAAUGAUGCUUCGGUGGAGGCUGCCUGCCCGAGAGGGGCCUAAGGAUGGCGCCUACCUCCACCUUGUCCCCACCCCGCGACGGAAUGGCUGGUGCUGUGUCAUCCACGUCUCCCUUCAAGGCGUCAGGGAAGCCACAUGCAAUAUCUCUUUCUUUCAGAGGGCUCCUGUUUCAACUCUGAAAAAGCACGGGUCCUUCUGAGAGCCUCAAUCCAUCCCCGGGGCUCCUGGAGCCACCACACUGCCUUGGCCCGAGUUAUCACAGAACCCAGAGAAACCAGGCCUCAGCUGUGCUUCCUCCAUAAAGCAGCUGACAUGUUUCCAGCUAGUAAAACAGUUUCUACUUAGCUUCCAAAAGGGGCUUGUUCUCGGCAUGUGGAUACAUCUUCAGACAGAUAAGAAUGAUAGUUACCUUUAUACACACACCAAAAUUCUGAAGGUGAAAGCACGGAAAACAGGGCUAUAGAAUUAUGCAUUGGGGACUACUUAGUUGAUGUUAUACAUGCAGAAAGCUUGCUAGACACUAUUUAGUAUGACCUUUGCCCUGGCUCCACCCCAUAGUCUGCUUCAACACCCUACAGUUGUAAAGCCCAUUAUGGACUUUAAUUUGAAGUCUUCCUUCAAAUGUACCCUAGUUUGGAGGGGCUGCAGACAGAAGUGUCUGUCUGGGGAUAAAAUGAACAAAUGAAGCCUGGCCAACAUAGAAUUCUCUAGAACCAAAGAAAAACAGUUGGACCAUUACUCCUGACUUGAGAUAAGUAGGCUAAACCACAGACUGGGAGGGAACUGAUUCAGCUGGCUGUUUCUUUGACUUCCAGUCAUUAAAAGUAAGUUUUCAGAACCUGUUGUGUUUCCCAGGGUCUACUGUUUACUGAGCAAAACUAUCUGGUAAAUUUUAGCAGUAGCAUUUUUUUUUUUUUUUUUUUUGGACAAGAUCUUCAGGCCAGCCUUGAAGUUACUAACUGAGGCUGAUCUUGAACUUGUGGUCCUAGUGCCAUCAUGCCCCAUUUAUGAAAAGCUAGCAUGGGCUCGCUCCAAGUAAGUGCUCUACCAGCCCUGGCAAUGCUACCUUUUUGUUUGUUUUUGGUUUGGUUUGGUUUGGUUUUGGUUUUUUGAGACAGUCUCACUAUGUAGCUCUGGCUGUCCUGGAAUUCACUAUGUAGACCAGGCUGGCCUCAAACUCACAGAAUAAUACCUGUCUCUGCCUCCCAAGUGCUGGGAUUAAAGGCAUGUGCCAACACCCCAAGUUAACUCAACUCUUCUAAGCCUCUAGCCACCUCCAUCCUGUCUCCUAAGUGUUGUUAUCAAAACUUGUUUUGAGGACUGGUCUGCUGAGGAGGAAAUGGGCUGGUCUUUAAAUAGAAUAGUUCACACAGUCAUCAUAGAAAUUAGUCUUGUAGCUGGGCAGUAGUGGCUCACGCCUUUGAUCCCAGCGCUCCAGCUCAGGAAGCAGAGGCAGGCAGAUCUCUGUGAGUUCGAGACGAACCUGGUCUACAAGAGCUAGUUUCAGGACAGGCUCCAAAGCCACAGAGAAACCCUGCCUUGACCCCCACCCCCAAAGAAAGAUAAUUCUGGCAACAAAAAAGUCACCUUGAAUUUUUUUUUUUUAUUCUAAUGAGGCAUGGUGGUUCAUGCCAGUAAUCCCAGCACUCUAGAGGAUUGCCAUGUGUUCAGGUCAGCCUGGGCUAUAGUGUAAGACCCUAUCUCAAGCUAAAAUAAAACACAAUGAAGUACUAAAAUGAAUUAGAUU